AUUGUUCGUAGGAUAAGUAGUGUUGCACUUCUGGUUUCAGAGAGCUUGUGGUUAGUGAGAACAAGUAAUCAGGGUCAAUGUGAAUCUACCUACUAUAUGAGAACAAUCGGGUUUAACCGUUAUUUUGGUGAAAGUGCAGUCUCUUUUGACUGUUAAAUAGGGUGGCAACGCGUAAAGACCACGUCCCUUGU
rnacentral:ncRNA from 1 species